AUAAAAAGUUUUCUUUAGAAAGUCCUUAGAGUGAAAGUACUAGAAAUGUCGUCAUAGACGAGGUUCCAGGAGAAUGGCUCGUAAUGGAUGUUUGAGGGCGUUUUUUCUAGGCAUGCAACUGAUUUUCCGUGUUUUGAAAUGGUCGGAUGACCGAAAGUUUAUGAUGAUAAAUUGAUUGUUUUUGAUGAGCCCAACGUUGUAAGUAGACAAUUAUGAAGUUAUUCCCUUAAUAAUAUGUUGUAUGAUGAUAGGUGAUAAGAUUUAUUAAUUAUGUUGAUGUUAAAGGGUAAAAAUUGAUGAGAAAGAAAUGUAUCGAGAGAAGUUUUGUUGCACGAGUAAUACAGUUUAGUAUUGCAUAGCCAUAGGGCCGUCACGUGCAAAUUUAGUGACCGGAAUUAGUUACGUCUUUUGGACUAAUUGGAUUUAUACAUGUGAGCCGUAAUAGGGCUUUUGAUUACAGUUUGGUUAUUAUGGUGUUUGAAAAUAUUGAUAUAAAGGACCACAUAUGUGUUUAUUAAGUACUUAAUGAAGAAUAGUGAUGUACAUGAAUAAGUUGAGUAAUUUCAAGGAAUUUCAGGUAUCUAUGACAGUAUACCUAGAUAAAUAAAAGAUAAGUUUUACAAGCUUUUUGGAUGAGAUAAAAAUAGAUUUAUGACUUGGUUUUGAAUGCUUGAGAGCAUUGAGUUUACCGAUUUAGAUACUUUACAGCUAACGAUAGGAAAGAAGAUAAUCGCAUGUUUCAAGUAAUGUCUUUUGGAUUCAGAGUUUAUAGUUUAGAAGUUACCUUGAUGUAUGACAGAAUACUCAAAGUCAAACUAAUCAGUUCAUAUUCAGAUAUGAAUUUUUAUUAAUUGAGACCAGCUAGACAGACAAGUAUUAUAAUUGUAACAUUGUAUGAAUAUGCAGAUGUGUUCAAGUAUUCCAAUAUUGAUUGGUUGUUUGUUUGUUUUUUGUUCAAUUACAGAUUGAACCGUGCUGAUAUGUACAGAUGUGCUGUUAGCGUGGUCUCAUACUGGGCCAAUACAACCUGUGUCAUGAUUGAUUAUUUAUCAUCGGUGUAGUCACGGUCUAUCCCCAACAUCAAGUUCAAUAACGAUCAUCAGGAUGAGUGAUGCAGGUCAACCUCGAGAUGCUGGUGAGUCAUCCACUGUUAGAGAAAUGAGGCAGGAAGAUGACCAGGAUGUUCAGCCUGGAGACUCUGCAAGUCAGUGUGGAAGCCACACAAGUGCUGCUUCAUCAGCUAAGCUAAGAGUGAUGGCCCGCAAAGCAGCAUUGGCAGCUGAAGCAGCUGCAAUGGAGGAACGACAAGAUCUAGAACUUGAAGAAUUUCGACUUACGCAGCGUAAGUUGAGACUGUCUAUGAAAACCAAGCUGCGGAUGGCAGAAGCAGAAGAACGCAUUUACUUGGACUUUGAAGCCAAUAAGUUUGGAGUCAGCUCUCCUGAGAAAGAGGAUGUAACCUUGCCAUACCCCGCAGAUAAUAUGGCAAUGAAAACUCCACAGAACACUGUUCCCACGUCUUCAGAGACAGCAGUCGCUAGCUCAGCAGAGGCAGCUGUUCACACUACAACCUCAAAGCCUGUUGAAGCGAGUGACUCUUCUUGGACUAACAAGGGUAAAGGUGAUAAGAUACUAGUGAAUCAGUCCAGGAAUGAGAAUUCAGAUCUCAUCAAUCUGAUGAGGCAAAGUCAGAAGCAGCAACAACAUCUCCUUGAAGCUAUGCAACUCCCUAAAGCUGAACUGACUUGUUAUGAAGGAGAUCCAUUGAAAUUUUGGGAGUUUUGGCGUAGCUUCGAAGAUAGUGUGGAUGCCACACCAGUGGAAGAUAGGACAAAGUUGACGAGAUUGCUCCAUUACUGUAAGGGAGAACCUAAGAGAUUACUGAGUCCUUGCCUGUUAAUGCCUACCAUGCAGGGAUAUUCCACAGCGAAGCAUCUUUUACAGGAGCGUUAUGGUAACCCAGUCAUCAUAACAGAGGCCUGGGUGAAGAAGAUAACGAAUGGGAAGAGCAUAGGCCCUCAAGACAGAAAUGCACUGAGAGCUCUGGCAGAUGAUAUGAGUGUAUGCUUGAUGUCCUUUCAGGCCAUGGGGUUUGAGCAUGAACUCUCACCUCAAAAGGUGCUUCUACCGAUUGCUGAACGACUGCCUUAUCAUCUAAAAGGAAAAUGGCUUAAUAGAGUCGGAGUGCUUCGUCGUCAGAACAGGGUCCCGGGCUUCGAGGACAUGAUGUACUUCGUGCAAGAAGCUGCACAAGAGAUCAACGACCCGGUCUACGGUGGCCUUAUGUCUUCCAAGAGUGAUCAACGAAAAUUUACUAGUGGUGGGAAACCCAAGGGCUCCUUUUCAACUUCAUCAAGUUCCAAGGAUGCAGAACCAGGUUGUUUCGAGUGUAAAGGUGACCACAAGCUGUGGGACUGCAAGCAGUUCAAAGACUUGAUGCCCAAAGACCGCCUUCGGCUCGCAAGAAAGAAAGGACUGUGCUUUAACUGCUUAAGACCAGGUCACAUGACUGGAGCUUGCAAAAGCAAGAAGACUUGCUCCGUGGAAGGCUGCUCUCGAAAGCACAAUAAGCUCUUACAUACAUCAGAAUCAUCUGGUAACCAAAAUUCAGAGGGUGAUGCACAGAAUAACAGUGUAGAAGUCGAGGCGUCUUGCAAUUCCACAGGGGCCGGCAGGAGGAGUGUGCUACCAAUAGUGCCUGUGAGAGUACGAGCGAAAGGCGGCAAACAAGUGCUGAAGACAUAUGCACUACUUGACUCCGGUUCUACAAGCACGUUCUGUUUGACGAGUCUAGUGAGGCGCCUAGGAGUUAAAGGCGUAAAGGAGAAGCUCCUGCUAACAACUCUUGAGAGGAAAGAAAGUGUUGUCCACACUGAAGCUGUAAGUCUUGUAGUGGAUACUGGAGACGACAGUAAAAGGGUGAAGCUGCCAUGUGUUUAUACGAAGGACAGUAUCAACGUCAAGGGCAUUCACAUGGCCAAGUAUGAAGAGAUUAAAGGAUUGACCCACCUUAAAGGUAUUAACAUCCCUAUGGCAACCGAGGAGGAAGUGGGUCUGAUAAUCGGCCAAGACGUGCCUGAAGCCUUGUUGCCUUUAGAGAUCAGAAAAGGAAAAGAGGGACCGUACGCAAUAAGGACUUGUCUCGGAUGGACGCUCCAUGGUCCUCUGAACACCACAGAGAAAAAGGAAAAGGAAAUAUAUGCCACAAGCACCUUCGUCGAAGGAGAUCUGUGUCUUGAGAAACAGUUAGAGAAAUUCUGGAGGCUGGAGACUGCUGAUCCGCUGAAGGAUGAGAGGGGAAUGUCUAGAAAUGAUGUGAAGGCUUUGGCAGAAUGGGAGCAAGGCAUCUGCACAGAAGGCGGCCACUACCAGCUUCCUAUCCCCUUCAAAAAGAGACCUCCCAAUCUCCAGAAUAAUCGUUGGUUAGCUCAGAGGAGACUGGAAAGCCUAGGAAGAAAGCUUAACCAAAGUGAUGGCCUCCUCCAGAAGUAUGCAGACGGCAUAACAGAUCUCUUGGAAAAAGGUUAUGCUGAAGAGGUCAAUGAACAAGAGGUAAAUAAGAACCAAUGUGAAUGGUAUUUGCCACACCAUGCAGUAUUCCAUCCGCAGAAGCCUGGGAAAGUAAGGAUUGUUUUCGACUGUGCGGCUGAAUGGAAAGGCUUGUCACUGAACAAGGUAGUCUACCAGGGACCAGAUCUUACCAACAAGCUGAUCGGGGUAUUGUUGAGGUUUCGAUCAGCUCCUGUGGCCUUGAUGGCAGAUGUCGAAGCCAUGUUCCAUCAAGUACGAGUGCCUGCCAUAGACCGAGAUGUUCUGAGAUUCCUAUGGUGGCCAAGAGGUAACAUGAAAGAAAACCCCCUAACCUACCGAAUGUGUGUUCACUUGUUCGGGGGAACCUGGAGUCCGAGUGUAUGCAGCUAUGCUCUCCGCAGGACAGCUGAGGACUUUGAAACUGAAUUCAGCCCAGAUGUCGCAAGAAUUGUGAAGCAUAAUUUCUACGUGGAUGAUUGCUUGGUGGCUGUACCUGAUGAAGAUGCUGCAAUUAGAAUAGCUACUGAGUUGAGGAGCCUGUUGCAGAAGGGAGGCUUUAGACUUACUAAGUGGAUUAGCAAUCGAACCAAGGUUCUUCAAUCUAUCCCAGAGGAAGAGAGGGCUAAGCAAGUCAAGGGCUUAGACUUAAACAGGGAACCACUUCCAGUUGAGAGAGCCUUGGGUAUCAACUGGGAUGUACAGGACGACUGUCUUGAGUACAAGACAUCAAUAAAGGACAAACCUCUGACAAGAAGGGGAUUGCUUAGCAUUGUGUCAAGCAUUUAUGACCCGCUUGGCUUCUUGAGUCCCUUCAUCUUGAAAGCUAAGCAUCUGAUGCAAAGACUGACCACAAUGAAGUUAGGAUGGGAUGACCCAAUUCCAGAAGUUGAACAGGAGAUUUGGCAACAGUGGGUAAAACAACUUCCUGAGGUAGAACACUUCAAUGUGCCAAGAUGUAUGAUUCCCACGAGCUACGGUGCCGUGAUUGAGUAUCAGCUACAUCAUUUCGCUGAUGCCUCCGAAGAUGCCUAUGGAGCAGUCACUUACCUGGUAGCCAAGAAUUCUGAUGGACAAGUCUGCAGCAGCCUUGUCUUUGCCAAAUCUCACCUCGCUCCUCUAAAAAGGACUACCAUACCUCGCCUGGAGCUGAUGGCUGCUACUGUUGCGGUGAAGGCUGAUGUCUUGGUAAGGAGAGAACUGGGUCUACCACUGAAGGACUCUGUGUUUUGGACUGACAGCAUGAUUGUAUUGGCAUACAUCAAGAAUGAGGACAAACGAUUUCACACCUUUGUUGCCAAUAGAUUGUCAGUGAUUCACUCUGUCAGUGAUGUGAAGCAGUGGCACCAUGUCAACAGCAAGGAGAAUCCAGCUGAUGAUGUAAGCAGAGGCAUGAGUGCACGAGAUCUGGUAGCUAGCCAAAGAUGGAUUCAUGGACCAGAAUUCAUACUGCUGUCUGAAGAGGAAAGGAGCCAAGAUCCAGACUCAGAUGAUAUAUCAGACAGUGAUCCAGAAGUAAAGACUGUUAAGUCCUUCACUGCCGAAACUAGAGAUGAAGUACCACUGGCAGCUACUGACAAACUGUUGAACUACUUCUCGGAGUGGUACAGGCUGAAGAAGGCAGUAGCUAGGAUCUUACAGUUUGGGAAGUAUUUGCAGAGUAAAGCACAGAAGAAAACAUUUGACUGUGAGAAGCUUCUUACAGUGAGUGACUUGAGAGAUGCAGAACAAGCAAUUCUGAAGUAUAUCCAGCAUCAGAGCUUUCCUGAAGAACUGGAAGUAUUGCAGAAACAUGUAAGAAAUGAAGGAGAGAAACAAGGACAGGUAUCCAGAGUAAAGAAAUCUAGCUCUCUUUUCAAGCUGGACCCAAAGGUAUUUGAUGAUGGUCUUAUUCAUGUAGGUGGACGGCUUCAAUAUGCAUCAGUCGAGGAUAAGACCAAACAUCCCAUCAUUCUUCCCAAGAUGCACCAUGUUGUGAGACUGAUCAUAAGGAAAUAUCAUCUGAUGUCGGGUCACUCAGGACGAGAACAUGUGCUCUCAUUACUUAGGAGACAGUACUGGGUAAUAAGUGGAAGAGUAGCCGUUAGACAAGCUCUUAGAGACUGUGUGGUGUGCAAGCGGAUGUCAGCAACUCCAACCACACAAAAGAUGGCUGAUCUACCAAGUGACAGAGUGCAAACAGAGAAACCACCAUUUACCCAUGUUGGUGUUGAUUGUUUUGGUCCGUUCAUGGUCAAGCAAGGAAGGUCUCGUGUCAAGCGUUAUGGCUGCAUUUUUACCUGUUUGGUAGUACGUGCAGUACAUAUUGAAAUAUUGCACUCUUUGGAAACGGACUCAUUCAUAAAUGGACUUCAACGGUUCAUAGCACGUCGAGGUCAACCAGAGGUUAUCAGAAGCGACAACGGGACGAACUUUGUUGGAGCCGAUCGAGAACUACGUGAUGGUAUCCGAUCCUGGAAUCAACAGAAGAUCCAGGAUCAUCUAUUGCAGAAAGGUAUAGACUGGAAGUUCAAUCCUCCAAGUGCUUCGCACAUGGGGGGCUCGUGGGAGAGACAGAUCAGAACUGUUCGCAAGGUGUUGAACGCUUUACUGAAACAGCAGGCUCUCUCUGAUGAGGGCUUGUGUACUCUGAUGUGUCUGGUAGAAGCAGUGAUCAACGGACGUCCUCUCACUGUGGUCUCUGAUGAUUGCAGGGACCUAGAACCACUAACACCUAACCAUCUCUUGCUUCUGCGGCAGAGCAAUGUCCUCCCCUUCAACGUGAGUGAGAAGAGAGAUCUCUAUAGUCAAAGAAGAUGGCGUCAGAUACAGUAUUUAGCCGACGUCUUUUGGCGUAGGUGGAUUCGCGAAUAUCUGCCUGCCCUCCAACAGCGAGAGAAGUGGGGUACGCCAUCGAGAAAUAUAGCUGUAGGGGACAUUGUGCUCAUCAUGGACGGAUUGCCGAGGAAUCAAUGGUUAAUGGGUAGGAUAACAGAAACAUUUCCUGGUAGAGACGGUUUAGUUAGGACGGCAAAGUUAAAGACCAAAUCAACUACACUGGUUAGACCCGUACACAAACUUUGUCUAAUUGAAUCUACAGAACAAAAGCAAUAAGAUAGACCCUAUUAUAGUUUGAGCGAUAUGAUGCAUGAUUUAAUGGACGCUAAAAGACUACUUUGAGAUUGCAUUUUACAAAGUCAGGAGGAUAGACUAUUCGUAAGAAAGCUCAUCAUUGUUUUCUCUUGGAAUGACAUAUUCAAUCUUGAUGAAUAUAUUUUGAAAGGACUAUUAUUUCAUCGCAUAACAAGCUCAGAUCCACAACGAGAAUGGACUCUUUAGGACGGUUCUUAACAAUGAUAACAUUGUUGGAUCUUUCAACAUUUAAUGCAUAUGCGUGAGAUUUUUAUCAUUAUGUAAUUCUGUGUAAUAUGAAAUGAAUCUCAUUAUUAAGAUGUUUGUUUUUCAUUGCAGAACAGGUCUCUGCUGGUGUGCCUGUUAUCGGUGGAUUAUAAGAAAUAUUUUUGAUGGCAAAUUUGCAUGUUAUGAUGCUUAAGAAAUUUUCAUUUGUUUUGGCAAAAUGGAAAAAGAGAUCAAAAUUAUUUUUUAACAUGUUUUUGGAACACAUUUCACCAAAUAUGUGAUAUUUAUUGAAAAUUCAGUAUUAUAUCUUGAAGGUUCAAGGACAUUUUUUCUUUUGAGUUUCAAAGUAUUCAAACAGAUAUAUUUUUGUGCAAAGAUUGUAAUUGUAUGUAUAGCUGCAUUCACGAGAAAUGAUGCAGACUGCUGUGGAGUUUACUUGUGUUCUUCAUCAGGUCCAGUGACCUAGUUGGUGCUAUUUUCAGGCUAGUUAGGCGCUAAUUGCUCUUUUUUCAAAAUCAAAAUCCUUCAAUGUCGAACAGAUUUCUGUGUCCCAGAGAGCUCCACUAGUAGACUCUUCUCUGUAUAUAAAUAUGCAUGUUAUUUGAAUUGUAACAGUGUGUUGAUAACUUCUUGUUUAUUGCUUUAAGUACAGUCAUACAUAUGAAAGAUUUGGAAUUUGGAAGCCUUUAUCAUUUUACCACACAGCUAGUUGCGAGACAUUUACAGUAACGAAAGAAUAAUUGGUUGAUAAUGGAUUUCAGGUGUAGACACUCAGUGAAAUGUACUCUUCAGGAUUUAUUGUAAAAUUUUCAUUCUUUAUAUUUCAUAUAUUAGAGUUGGACAUGUGGAUUCGUUUUACACAUAUAUCAUUGAAUAUGUAUUAGAAUAUUUGAUAGGAAUUUUAGCACAUUUAUGUUUGAUAUGUUGAAAAGAUUAAAGUUGUGGGAGUAGUUUGAUUAGAAAAGAUAAUGUAAGAUAAUUGAAACAAAGGUACCUAACAGAUGAUUUGAUGACAGUUAAGUUUAUUCCAUAUAAAUGACUUAUAUGCUUAAAGGGACAUGUGUAUCCAUUUUUGGAUAAUUUUGUUUAUGAUAUGUAUUUUUAUAAAUGUUUGCUGUUGGCUCACAUUUAAGGGGCCGGGAUGUUAAUGAUAAAAAGUUUUCUUUAGAAAGUCCUUAGAGUGAAAGUACUAGAAAUGUCGUCAUAGACGAGGUUCCAGGAGAAUGGCUCGUAAUGGAUGUUUGAGGGCGUUUUUUCUAGGCAUGCAACUGAUUUUCCGUGUUUUGAAAUGGUCGGAUGACCGAAAGUUUAUGAUGAUAAAUUGAUUGUUUUUGAUGAGCCCAACGUUAUUGAACCGUGCUGAUAUGUACAGAUGUGCUGUUAGCGUGGUCUCAUACUGGGCCAAUACAACCUGUGUCAUGAUUGAUUAUUUAUCAUCGGUGUAGUCACGGUCUA